rnacentral:rRNA from 1 species
GUAGGUGGCAAGCGUUGUCCGGAAUUAUUGGGCGUAAAGCGCGCGCAGGCGGUUCUUUAAGUCUGAUGUGAAAGCCCACGGCUCAACCGUGGGGGGUCAUUGGAAACUGGAGAACUUGAGUACAGAAGAGGAAAGCGGAAUUCCACGUGUAGCGGUGAAAUGCGUAGAGAUGUGGAGGAACACCAGUGGCGAAGGCGGCUUUCUGGUCUGUAACUGACGCUGAGGCGCGAAAGCGUGGGGAGCAAACAGGGAUUAGAUACCUUGGUAGUCCACGCCGUAAACGAUGAGUGCUAAGUGUUAGGGGGGUUUCCGCCCCCUUAGUGCUGCAGCUAACGCAUUAAGCACUCCGCCUGGGGAGUACGGCCGCAAGGCUG